UACGGUCACAUCAUAUUGAAACACCGGUUCCCGUACAAUUACCGAAGUUAAGCAACAUCGGGCUUGGUCAGUACCUAAAUGGGUGACCGCUUGGGUGUGUAGGU